GCCAGGUGUGGUGGUACAUGCCUGUAAUCCCAGCAACUUGGGAGGUUGAGGCAGGAGGAUCAGGAGUUCAAACCCAUCCUCAGCAACUUAAUGAGGCCCUGAGUAACUUGGUGAGAUCCUGUCUUAA
rnacentral:sRNA from 1 species